rnacentral:rRNA from 1 species
GGAGGGUGCAAGCGUUGUUCGGAAUUACUGGGCGUAAAGCGCGUGUAGGCGGCCUUGUAAGCCGGACGUGAAAGCCCUCGGCUUAACCGGGGAAGUGCGUCUGGAACUGCAUGGCUUGAGUACGGGAGAGGGAGGCGGAAUUCCCAGUGUAGAGGUGAAAUUCGUAGAUAUUGGGAGGAACACCGGUGGCGAAAGCGGCCUCCUGGACCGAUACUGACGCUGAGACGCAAAAGCGUGGGGAGCAAACAGGAUUAGAUACCCUGGUAGUCCACGCUGUAAACGAUGGGCACUAGGUGUGGGGGGUAUCCACUCCUCCCGUGCCGAAGCUAACGCAUUAAGUGCCCCGCCUGGGGAGUACGGCCGCAAGGUUA